rnacentral:rRNA from 1 species
UAGGGAAUAUUGGUUAAUGUGCGAAAGCGCGAACCAGCAACGCCGCGUGUGCGAUGAAGGCCUUCGGGUCGUAAAGCACUUUUUGCAGGGAAGAGGAAGGACGGUACCUGCAGAAUAAGUCUCGGCUAACUACGUGCCAGCAGCCGCGGUAAAACGUAGGAGACGAGCGUUAUCCGGAUUUACUGGGCGUAAAGCGCGUGCAGGCGGCAUGGCAAGUUGGAUGUGAAAGCUCCCGGCUUAACUGGGAGAGGUCGUUCAAUACUGCCAGGCUUGAGAGUGGGAGAGGGAAGCGGAAUGCCGGGGUUAGUGGUGAAAUGCGUAGAUACCCGGAGGAACACCAGUGGCGAAGGCGGCUUCCUGGCCCAUUUCUGACGCUCAGACGCGAAAGCUAGGGUAGCAAA